ensembl:processed_transcript
UGAAAAAAGUUUCAGUGGCCUGUUGGCUUAGGCAUUGAAGUGGAUGACCCAGGUUAUGAUGACAACUUGCUGAGAACGCGGAUGAGACCUUCAAUUUGUGCCCGCACUCAUUUGCAGCAACCCUAACAGAGAUUGCGAAGAUUUUCAAAGUAGGGCACCUCGAUUUCUCAAAUCUGUGGUGUGGCGAAUAUCCGUGUUCCUCCUGCUUAACUAGCCUGUUUGGCAGGUCUGAUUCUAUUUUAUUCUAAAGACAGAGUUGGAGAUGGGCUACCAUUGGUGUUGACUGAGAUGUCAAGCAGUCACCUGAAAUGGGAGACAGUGCUUGCUGCCAAGCUUGAUGACCUAAAUUGAAUCCUGGAACCUACAGGACAGAAAGAGAGAGCUGACUCCUGAAAGAUGUCCUCAGAUCUUCACAUAUGCACAGUGGCACCUCUCCAACCAUGCACAUAGUAUAUUAAAAUUAUUUUUUUUAAAA